GACAUUUCAGUUCACAGAAACUGAAACUUUGGUGCUGGAAUAUAGAACAUUUUCCGAGUCUCAAAUGCAAUAUGUUUGGAAAACACUUUUCCACUCAGCCCUGGUAAAACCUCCAAGGAAGGGGGUGAAGACACAGGCUCCCUGCCAGAGAACAUGAGCUUUGCUAGACCAGCAUCUCCAUAUUCUUUCUCUUAGAAAAUGCUUUUUCCUCCGCUCCAAACAGUGGAGGGCUGGAGGGAAGAGCAGGAGACAGUGACACUGUCCCAUGCUGGCUGGAAACCCUGUGGUGCCUCUGGGGCACAGAAGGUCUGAAUUUAAAUCUCCCUCUGGUUUGGAUCUGCUUCAAACAAAUACCUGAAAGCACUGCCCUCCCCAGGGCCUCUCUGCCCAGAUCUUGCAGGCAGACUCAGAAGAAUUUGACUUUAUCAGUGAUUUAUGCCUUGGAAUGGAGACUGAGAGCAGGGACCUCUGCUGUAUGUGGUCCAGGAUCCCCCAGCACAGCUGGAGCCCUGUCAGUGCCUGCACAGGCACCACCAUGGGCACCAUCCCAGCGCCAGGCCAGAGCCCUUCCUGGUGAGCCUCUCAUCCAGGUGUCCCAGGACAUGAGCACAGUGUCCCACACUGGUCUGCUCCUCUUUCUGCCCUUCCCUGCCUUGUGAGUACAUUUUUCUUUUGUCUCCUUGAAUCUUCUCUAA
ensembl:lncRNA